CUGGCAAGCAGGAUAUCUGAUGUUAUUCCUGUGAAAUGGUUGCUCAACACUCCCCCCUAAACCCUGCCAAGGGGGUCGUGAACCAGAUGUUGGGAAACACUGCUCUAAGGAGUCAGGGUGGCCACGGGCCACCUUUGCAUAAGCAGAUAAGUGUGGGUCAGAAGUUAGAAGAGCCAGGCUCAAGUCCCACCCUGACCCUUGCUAGCUGGGCAAUGCCUCUUGGAUGCUCCUCGGUUCUCUUUUCUGUUAAACAAGUGAAGCUCUCCUGCUGGUUCUCCUUCUUGGGCUACAGUGAGAAGCCCAGGCAGCAAUGCAUGGGUAUUUCCAGCAUCACACACCUUCACUCUUCCAGGUAUGCCCCACCCCCUAAACACAAAUGCCCAUUAUUAUAUUAUUCACCUAGCACAGGUGCCUGGCACUUCCUGAAGCUUGCCCUUCACAACCACUAUUUCUCUGUGCCCCUGGUUGGCAAAGCCCACUUCCCUGCCUCAGCAGGACCAUCCACAAAGCUUUGUGCUCUGCAUACUUUACACUACACCAUGCAUAAUAUUUAGAGCAGAUGAGUCCCUGCUGGGCAGUGGGACCUCACAGUCAGGGAGAGUCCUCUCUACUUCCCAAAGAACCUUGGGCUGCUCUAGAGGUUCCAUGGUACACAGACAGCACAGGUUCCAACUGGACUCCACGUUGCCAUCCUUAGCAUGGGUCAUGCCCCUUCUUCCUUUCUCAUAAGGUUGUCAUGAACAUCAAAUGAGUAGACAUCUGUAAAGAGCUCAGAACAAUAUCUGGUAUACAGUAAGAGUUCCUUAAACAUUAGUUGUUAUUAUUGCUUUCUCCUCCUUUUCCUUCCCCCCCCCCACUCCUCCUCCUCAUCAUCAUCAGUCCUCAGGUUUGGAAAACAGCUGCCACUCCUCCAGGCAUCACGUCUCCCUCCCCAGUUGGAAAAGAGGAAAUGCAGAAGAAGAUACUCCCUGAAUCCACGCAGGGCUUGGUUGGCGGGGAUCUGAAGGCCUCUCCUGACUUCCAGGAACACCAGCGUGCAAACAUACAAGCAGGCAUGAUGUCCCGAGAGUUCAGAUGCUGAAGAUGACAUCAUGAUGCCUGUUUGCAAGCUCCUCCUCCAGACACCAUGUGGCUGACAGACCUUCCUCUUUCCUCUUCUUUAUUCGUGUCCUCUUCUGUUUUGUUGAGACAGGGUCUCACACUGUAGCCCAUGCUGACCUUGAAUACUCACCCAUCCUUCUGCCUCAGCUUCCAUGUGACAGGAUCACAGCCAUGAGCUAUCAUUCCUGACGCUUCCAAACUCUGCCCUGACCUCACAGUCCCAGUGAGGCUUAGUCUCACUGCUGGUGGCUCCCCCAUAGAAUCUGCACCCUGUGUCCUCCUCUCCUGAAUGCUUAUUGUCCCUUACAUUUCUCACGGAUUCCAUGCUACCUGUCACUCUCUAGCACGCAGGGCCUCGUUUUACUUAUUUUGUUCUUUACUGUAUGUCUCCAAGUACCUAAUAGAUUUGUAUGCAUGUGUGUGUUGUA